GGCCGAUCCCGCCGGGUUUCCGGGAGUGGGGCGGCAUGGAGCCAUCGCUGGCGGAGGGGGGCGGCCGCUUCCGCGCCAGCGAGCACCAGCACGUUCGGUACAACCCGCUGCGGGACGACUGGGUGCUGGUAUCGGCCCACCGGGUGAAGCGCCCUUGGCAGGGUCAGCUCGAGAAGCCACCCCCUGAGGAUGUGCCCCGCUGGGACCCCAAGAACCCCCUCUGUCCCGGGGCCACCCGGGCCAACGGCGAGGUGAACCCAAAGUACGAGGGUACUUUCGUCUUUCCAAAUGACUUCCCUGCACUCCAGCCUGAUGCUCCAGAACCUGAUGACAGUGAUCACCCCUUGUUUCGAGCUGCCCCAGCCCGGGGUGUGUGCAAGGUGAUGUGUUUCCACCCCUGGUCAGACCUGACGCUGCCUCUCAUGUCCCUGCCAGAGAUCCGGGCUGUCGUCGAUGCAUGGACAGAGUUGGCAACUGAACUGGGUGCUUCCUACCCCUGGGUGCAGAUCUUUGAGAACAAGGGAGCGAUGAUGGGCUGCUCCAACCCGCACCCCCACUGCCAGGUGUGGGCCAGCAGCUUCCUCCCGAACGAGGCGCGCCUGGAGGACCGGACCCAGCGCCAGCACCUGAGCCAGCACGGCGUGCCCAUGCUGCUGGAGUACGCUGAGCAGGAGGCUCGCCGAAAGGAGCGGCUGGUGGUGGAGAAUGCAGACUGGCUGGUUGUGGUGCCAUACUGGGCUACCUGGCCCUACCAGACCCUGCUGCUGCCCCGCCGCCACGUCUGUCGUCUCCAGGACCUCAGUGACAGUGAGAAGGACAGCCUGGCCUCCAUCAUGCAGAGGCUGCUCAUCAAGUACGACAACCUCUUUGAAGUCUCCUUCCCCUACUCCAUGGGCUGGCACGGAGCCCCCACAGGCCCCUACCUGGAGGAGGAGUGCAGGCACUGGCAGCUCCAUGCCCACUACUAUCCCCCGCUGCUGCGCUCCGCCACCGUCCGCAAGUUCAUGGUGGGAUACGAGAUGCUGGCCCAGGCACAGAGGGACCUCACCCCAGAGCAGGCAGCCGAGCGCCUGAGGAGCCUCCCUGAGGUACACUACAAGAAGAGGACCGAGGAGGUGUGAUGGGGAGCAGCACAGCAUCCAGGCCUCGGAUGAGCCACCUACUUCCCUAGAGAGGCCAGAGGUGUUCUCAGAUUCUCCAUCCUGAAUGACUGACCCCAAUGCCACUGCUUUGCGUGGGAAGUGAUUCUCUACAGAUCAUAGUGGCAUCUUCUCGCAGCGUAUUCGAGCUGAUGCUCAGGAAGGAGCUCAGCAAUGCACAGUGAUGAACCUCAUCAUCAUCAUCAUCCUCAUCACCAGUUUGGCACUGGGGCACAGCACACAAGGAGCUGGAGCACAUGGACAGAUGCCUGGUGGAAGGAACAAUUUCUCAGCCCUGCCUGUCUCCCUAGGGCUCCCUGCCCUGAAAAGAGAGAGGGGUCCACCUGUGAAAUGCCUCGUCCUGGGCCCAAGCAAGUAAAUUUCAUGAUCAUCCUGCUACUUUGAGAAGCAGCAUCUCAGGGGUGUCUGCUGCAUUUCUACAAAUUUUAACACCUAAUCUUGAAAGAGAGGAGCCCUAAUUUGAGAGACACGUGCUGGCCUGGAAAGUGCAUGAGCACUAUUCCUGGCCACACUGCAAAGGAUGGUCUCCACGCCUCCAGCACCACAGUUAUCCUGACAAAGCUGCUCUCUGAGGACAGUGGCCACAUUUCAGAAAAGGUUAUGGACUCCUGAUCAAUAGCUGAAGACUCUCACUGCUCCACAUUAGGGCUGAGGUACGGGGAACUGUGGCUGGUUAGGUACAGAAAAGAGCUCUGGACUGCAUCAGAGGCAUCUAAGAUGUCAGAUUGUCUUUAAUCAUGAAAAUAUAAAAGCAAGAAUCUAGUCUAACUACAUGGCUGUGCUGAAAUAAUAGCUCAUUUAAAAGGUGGAAUUUAAGCCUAAAAGCUAACAUUUUUGGUGUGUAUUUAUAACAGGCAGGCACACAGAACCUAUCUACACUGCAUUUAAUUUCUUUCACAACCUCCUUUGAUCCAGGCAUUACUGUCCGGGCAAAACUGGCACAAGCCCCUUUGCAGGCAUGACCAACCAUGCUGCUGUGAGCUGCCCAGCACUGGAACUGAGAGUAGAUUCAUUUUAAUUGAGUGUUUGGGCUAGCUACACCAGCCAGAAAUCUUGCUUCAGCUUGUCACCAUGAGCUCAUUACCUCCAAAACCUAAAGCCUUGCCUACCUCACAGGGAUGGAAAAAUGGGGCACUUGCCAGGUGCCCGCAGCAGGUCUCAGCUACAGCGUGUUGGGGAGGACGAUGCUGGGAUGGGGUGGGGGGGACACCCAGUUUGACUGGGAUGGAGCCAGGAGGUGUCUGUGCAGCCUCUUGAACGCCCAUAGGACAUGUGGAGUAAAAUCCCUGGAGAGAAGGGCAUGGAUUCUGGGUUUUCAGCACGUUGUCACGCUAUUUGUCCCAGGGCAAGCAGGAGGACCACAAGCUCUGGGAAAUUAAGGAAUUCCUUCCCUUUGAAAGCAGGCAGAUGAUUGCUGGAGUCACUGGUCCUGCUCCAAACUCCUCCUGCACUGGCCUCCAGAGUACAGUUAUUUUUGCAAAGAAGGAGAGACACUGCUAAAGGAUGGCCCAUUUUGAACACAUCAGAGCCAAGCUGGACCACUGAUCCAUCUGGGAGGGAAGACAAACCCAUUGCCUGGGCUCCUCCACUAGCACAUGCCCAGUAAAGUCUGCUCCCUCUCCCAAAUAAUAUUUCAGCCUUCCACAAGCUCUGGGAUUGCUGGAGUUCACGUUGCAAGUGCUGACCACUCCUUGUACCAAUAGACAGUGAAGAAUAUAUGUAUUCCCUCAGCACCUCCUCCAUGCCUUUAAGGACUAUUAUUUUCCCUGGCUGUACACAAUUUCUUUUCCAGGCAACAGUGUCCCACUUGACUAAUUCCUCCUGGUACUGAAGCUUUCACAGACCUUGGGUUGUCUCUGGUUUGGGAUCUGGGAGAGCAGGAGUGUACACACUGUCCAUGUAUACAGAUUUAUGUUGUUACAUUUAUGGUGAUGUUGGUAUUUUGCUGUUAUGUCCUGACAACUGGUACCACUCUCUGGAGCAGCACUACCUAGCUCAUGAGCUUGGCAGUGCCCCAAACAGUUUAUUUCCAUUGUGUAAAUCAACCUUGUAUCUCAUUUGUCAUCUCAUUGAUAAGCAGUUUUGGCAGGUCUUUUGGCAGCCUUUAGAAAUCAGGUUACCCUAAACACGUGGUGCUGGCAGAAGAUGUCACCUCAGUGUCUACACCCUUCCCUAAUUCAUUCAGCCACAGACUGAGCAGUGCAGGUGCCUGUGCUCCCUGCCUGAAGGGCUGUGCCCCUCUGCUGAGAAACUGGUCAUGCAUCCCAGCCUGUUUGUCCAUUUCUAACUGGGAAAACACCCCUGCUUUUCUGCCACCACCUCAACUGCUUUAGGGGUUGUUUUGCUGCUUGUCUUCAGGUUUAUUUUGAGAUCAGCCAUAGAAAAGCUUGUGGGAUGGGAACCCUUCCAAACCUGCUUGCAGUGUUUGAAUAGCAAUGGUCCUCUGCUUUGUUCUGCUGCAGGUUUGUCCUCAACAGGUCAUUCCCUGCAUCUGGGAGGAGGAAUAACCCCUUGCACCAGCACAGAAUGGGGGAUGACCAGCUGGAAAGCAGAAGGAUAAGGACCUGGGGAUCCUAGUGGACAACAAACUGUCCAUGAGCCAGUGGAGCCCUUGUGGCCAGGAGGGCCAAUGGUGUCCUGGGGUGCAUUAGGAAGAGAAUUGCAGUAGGUUAGGGAGGUGAUCCUGCCCAUCUGCUCAUCCCAGAGGUGUAUUUGGAGUGCUGUGUCCAGAUCUGGGCUCAGUACAGGAGAGAUGUGCUGCUCCUGGUGUGGAUCCAGCAGAGGGCUAUGAAGAUGAUUAAGGGAUGGGAGCAUCUCUCUUAUGCAGUAAGGCUGAGGGAGCUGGGCCUGUUCAGCUGGGGAAGAGAUGACUGAGAGGUUUUGUCAAUGUUUGUCAGUAUCUGAACUGUGUGAGAGGAUGGACCAGGCUCUGCUAUGGCUCUAUUUGACAAUAGGGCACGAGGCAAUGGGCAGAAAUCUGAAUAUGAGGAAGAAUUUCUUUACUGUGCAGAUUUCCCAGAGAGGCUGUGGAGUUUCCCUCACUGGUGAUACUUACGAACUGCCUGGAUGCAAUUCUGUGUAGCAGGCUCUAGGAUGGUCAGGGUGGUGGGACCAGGUGACCCUCUGCAGUACCUUCCAACAUUCUGGAAUUCUGUGAUUCUGUGACCUCAUGGUCCUGCAAACUCUGUUGCUCCUGAAACAGGGACCCUUGAAGGAGGGACCAUUCAUUUUUAUGGUAAUGGCAAAUUGAUCUUCAUAUUCUUUUCCAGCUGUCUUAUUGUGUAUUUACAUUUAACCUGCCAGAGGCUGUGCUCUUUUAAAAUUCCUUAGUUGAACAAGCCUUCAAUAUGUGAAAUCUGCCCCCUUUUCUUCCUUGCUCUGUAGUUGUACUCAGUUGGCCUUUCAAAGCUCUUUUUUGUGAGGAGGAAUGUGCCCAUGCUGAGCCUCCAAAAGGCUAUUUUUAUCCAGUCCCUAUGUUUCCUGCAUAGGGAAAAAGGAUUCAUCUCUUUGGCUCUUUAUCUAGUUUUGAUUCUUUUUAAUGAGUGUCUUCAAGGCAAUGUCAUUCCCUUUUCUCAAGGAAACACGGGCAAGGGGGAUUUUGCCAUAUGUAUGUGAUGGGUACCUUAUGUAUGGGUUGUGGGCACUGUUUGCUUGGAGGACAGAGCAAAGUUUCAUGGCAUUUUUGGUGAGCUCAGGCACCAAGCUCUUUGUGCAAAAUCCUCUCUAGCAGCAAAAAUACCAUGUCAGCAUCACACAGGGAAAUGGUCAAGAAACACUAAUUUGGGUUCAGAGACCUCCUGAAGUCACAGUAAGAAGGGAGCCUGGAGCUGUUCUAGAAAUUGUUCUUGAAAUUAAUUUAUUCAUGGAAAGGGUUGUCAAGCAUUGGAACAGACUGCCCAGGGAAGUGGUGGAGUCACCAUCCCUGGAGGUGUCUGAGAAACCAAUGGCCAUGGCCUUCAUGCUGUGCUCUAGUUGACAAGGUGGUGAUUGGUCAAAGAUUGCACUCAGUGUCUUGGAGGUCAUUCCUGACCUAAAAGAUUCGGUGAUUCCUCACUGCCUCCCAUCCCUCCUCCCUCAGGAGAGGUCUGUUUUUCUCUCUGGACCCAUGGCAGUGAGGUUUGGCUGGUCCUGCUCUGCAGCAGGGUACAGCAGACGCCCCAGUCAGCCUAGCAGUGGCUGCUCUGUCAGAAGAGGAAUGUUGUAUCCAACUGGAUCCAUGAGGUCUCUGUGGUCUUUUGGAGGGAAAUAGCACCUCAGAUGGCAAAAAUUUCUGGGUACCUGUGGAGAAAAUGUGCA